rnacentral:rRNA from 1 species
AGUUGUCAGUCGUGAACGGUCAGUGGUCAUCGAUCGACGGGGAGAGAGAGGUUACCGAGCGCAGCAACGGCGCCGUGGCGAAGAGGAGGAGGACGAACGAAGCAGCAGGCGCCGGAAACGGCUGUGCCACGAGCCGGCGUUUCCGUCAUGGCGCCGCCUCCCCGGGCACGUCAAAGGCCCCCACCCGUUCAUGCGGCACUAGAAGCUGCGGCCCUCGUGCCCGUGUGCGCACGUGCAGAAGUUCAAACUGUUGUUCUACCUGGAGGAACUCUAGCCGCUGCUGUAGCUCCAGAAGCGGUUCCACAGGGGGCCCGACUCAAGGAAGAGGCCCGCCGGGUUCCUCCGACGUUUCAGGCACUAUGGUGACGAGCUGUUCCGUUUGUCACAGCAGGGAACCACCGUUUACUUGUCUUGAGGGGAAUUUGAUCCUCGCUGCCGACCCGACUCCGAAUAGCCUCUGUUCGGUAGCCUCGUCUAGGAAGUUCGCCAUUAGUGAAAUGAUUAAUCGUCAAAUUUAUAUAUACGUAGUUCCUCAUUAGCUUCCUGGCAACCACAACUGAGAGGGAACCAUGUUAAUGUCCACUCCCUAUAGCAGGUGUGGUUCUCAUUUAAGGUCAUGUUGGGUUUCACCUAGUUACAAGAGCUCCCUAGAGUUCUUCCCAGAAUGUACACCCAACGAGACUUGAUAGACGACCUAUCUAACCCGCCUCUAAUGAGCUUCUGGCAUCCGCACUAGCUAGAACCACCGCCAAGCCAGGUUUACCGGAUGCGGCAGAGAGGUUUGUGGCGUCGUUUGCGGGGCCGUUGCGGACUACCGUUCCUGGGAAUGUAGUGGUUCCUCAUGGAGUUCCCUUUUCUGAUGUUGCAGAUGCAGGUGUCGAUGGACAUGAUGCCGUUGAACCGACGAGCACACCUCUAGGAGUUCCGGUUCAGGCCCGGCAAGUCGAGCACGUACGACGCACCUAGGUGGCCGUUGAUGUGGAUGUUGCCGCUCUAGAUGCUGCGCCGCCGCAGCGGUCUUCCCCGUCACAUGUGGUUCACGUCCUUCCUCCACCGGUUCCGCGACUUCGACCUGCGCGGCACGCGCUUGUUCUUGACGUGGAAGCCGCCGCACACCCCGCCUCCGCCGCCGCGGCCCGUCCGCUGCGACAUGCGCCGGAGGAAGAAGAUGCCGUUCCGGUGGGUCCAGCCCACCCACCUAUUCCUGCGGGGCUCGCGGUUCAGGUCGGGCCCCCGCAAGUCCCGCCGCCGGUUCUUCUAGACGGGCGACUCGGAGCUCCUCCGGUUCCGCCGCAUAGGGCCCCACGCGCUCUGCGGGAUGUAAACGUACCUGGACCACAUGGUCAUGUGCGACGAGCAGAUGCCCAAGCCCGACCGCGGCCGCUCCCUCUAGUGCGACCACCUGUUCCACUUCGUGCCCCUCAUGAAGUACCUCCGGCGGACCGGCGAACCGCUCCGGUAGCUCCGGCAGCGCGGGUUCUUCGCGUAGGUUGUACUAGGUGGGCAGUUGCAACGUACUAGCGAUCGAACAUGAUACUAGGUUCGUCGCGGCGCCGAGGUACGAAAUCGAAGGCAUGCAUCAGGAACAGAGCGCACCUCUUAUUACUCACUUCCUUUGGUGGCGAAUAGGCAUCACUACAAACAAGAGGUCCUAAAGUUCAAAUGAGUAGAUAAAUAUUACCCUUAUGAAAACCGUCGUGGUGACGUGUUCGUUGUAAAGGGAAAAUACAAAACCUACCUUUUGCUAAGCAAG